rnacentral:rRNA from 1 species
GGAUCAAUUCCGGUUGAUCCUGCCGGCGGCCACCGCUAUUGGAAUUCGAUUAAGACAUGCGAGUCGAGAGACAUUUGGUCUCGGCGGACCGCUCAGUAACACGCGGAUAACAUGCCCUUGGGUGGGGGAUAACCUCGGGAAACUGAGAAUAAUACCCCAUAGACCUCGAAAGCUGGAAUGCUUCAAGGUCGAAAACUCCGGUGCCCAAGGAUUGGUCUGCGGCGUAUCAGGUUGUAGUGGGUGUAACGGACCCACUAGCCUAUGACGCGUAAGGGCCUUGAGAGAGGGAGCCCUGAGAUGGACUCUGAGACAUGAGUCCAGGCCCUACGGGGCGCAGCAGUCGCGAAAACUUCACACUGGGGGAAACCCCGAUGAGGGAAUUCCAAGUGCCAGCACAUUGUGUUGGCUGUUCUUUGGUCUAAAAAACCAGAGAAGUAAGGGCCGGGUAAGACGGGUGCCAGCCGCCGCGGUAAUACCCGCGGCCCGAGUGGUGGUCGAUAUUAUUGAGCCUAAAACGUCCGUAGCCGGUUUUGUAAAUCCUUGGGUAAAUCGACCAGCUUAACUGUUCGAAUUCCGGGGAGACUGCAAGACUUGGGAUCGGGAGAGGUCAGAGGUACUUCUGGGGUAGGGGUAAAAUCCUGUAAUCCUAGAAGGACCACCGGUGGCGAAGGCGUCUGACUAGAACGAAUCCGACGGUGAGGGACGAAGCCCUGGGGCGCAAACGGGAUUAGAUACCCCGGUAGUCCAGGGUGUAAACGCUGCGGGCUUGGUGUUGGGGGUCCUUUGAGGGCGCCCAGUGCCGGAGAGAAGUUGUUAAGCCUGCUGCUUGGGGAGUACGUCCGCAAGGAUGAAACUUAAAGGAAUUGGCGGGGGAGCACCGCAACGGGAGGAGCGUGCGGUUCAAUUGGAUUCAACGCCGGACAACUCACCAGGAGCGACGGUUACAUGAAGGCCAGGCUGAUGACCUUGCCUGAUUUUCCGAGAGGUGGUGCAUGGCCGUCGUCAGUUCGUACCGUAAGGCGUUCUCUUAAGUGAGAUAACGAACGAGACCCUCACCAUUAAUUGCGAGCUUUCUCUCCGGAGGGAGUGCACAUUAAUGGGACCGCUGGCGCUAAGUCAGAGGAAGGAGAGGUCAACGGUAGGUCCGUAUGCCCCGAAUCUCCUGGGCUACACGCGCGCUACAAAGAUUGGGAC